UACAUGGGGUGCAAACGUUGCUCGGAAUUAUUGGGCGUAAAGCGCACGUAGGCGGUUUGUUAAGUCGGAUGUGAAAUCCCUCGGCUCAACUGAGGAAGUGCACCCGAAACUGGCAGGCUUGAGUACUAAAGAGGGUCGCGGAGUUCCCGGUGUAGAGGUGAAAUUCGUAGAUAUCGGGAGGAACACCGGUGGCGAAGGCGGCGACCUGGGUAGAUACUGACGCUGAGGUGCGAAAGCGUGGGGAGCAAACAGG
rnacentral:rRNA from 1 species